GCCGCGAUGCCACAAUGGUACUGGGCUAGUUUUGAAAACUAGUGAUCUGUAAAAAGACUGAGGGUUCGAAUCCUUCUCGCGGCG
rnacentral:tRNA from 1 species